rnacentral:rRNA from 1 species
GACGAACGCUGGCAGCGUGCUUAACACAUGCAAGUCGAACGCUGAAGCCCUUCGGGGUGGAUGAGUGGCGAACGGGUGAGUAACACGUGGGUAAUCUGCCCUGCACUCUGGGAUAAGCCUUGGAAACGGGGUCUAAUACCGGAUAGGACACAUCGCCGCAUGGUGUGUGUGUGGAAAGUUCCGGCGGUGCAGGUUGAGCCCGCGGCCUAUCAGCUUGUCGGUGGGGUGAUGGCCUACCAAGGCGACGACGGGUAGCCGGCCUGAGAGGGUGACCGGCCACACUGGGACUGAGACACGGCCCAGACUCCUACGGGAGGCAGCAGUGGGGAAUCUUGCGCAAUGGGCGAAAGCCUGACGCAGCAACGCCGCGUGGGGAUGACGGCCUUCGGGUUGUAAACCUCUUUCGACCGGGACGAAGGAUUCGUUUGACGGUACCGGUAGAAGAAGCACCGGCUAACUACGUGCCAGCCGCCGCAGUAA